ACUCCUACGGGAGGCAGCAGUGGGGAAUAUUGCGCAAUGGGCGAAAGCCUGACGCAGCCACGCCGCGUGUGCGAUGAAGGUCUUCGGAUCGUAAAGCACUGUGGGGAGAGAAGAAUAAAGCCGGUGAAGAGCCGGCCUUGACGGUAUCUCCUUAGCAAGCGCCGGCUAACUCCGUGCCAGCAGCCGCGGUAACACGGAGGGCGCGAACGUUGCUCGGAAUCACUGGGCGUAAAGCGCACGUAGGCGGCUAUGUAAGUUGGAUG
rnacentral:rRNA from 1 species